UACGUAGGGUCCGAGCGUUGUCCGGAAUUACUGGGCGUAAAGAGCGUGUAGGCGGUUUGGUAGGUCCGCUGUGAAAACUCGAGGCUCAACCUCGAGACGCCGGUGGAAACCAUCAGACUAGAGUCCGGAAGAGGAGAGUGGAAUUCCUGGUGUAGCGGUGAAAUGCGCAGAUAUCAGGAAGAACACCCGUGGCUAAGGCGGCUCUCUAGUACGGUACUGACGCUGAGACGCGAAAGCGUGGGGAGCGAACAGG
rnacentral:rRNA from 1 species